UACGUAGGGGGCAAGCGUUGUCCGGAAUCAUUGGGCGUAAAGCGCGUGUAGGCGGCUGACUAAGUCCGCUCUGAAAGCCCGGGGCUCAACCCCGGGAGGCGGGUGGAUACUGGUCAGCUCGAGUCCGGAAGAGGAGUGUGGAAUUCCUGGUGUAGCGGUGAAAUGCGCAGAUAUCGGGAGGAACACCAAUGGCGAAGGCAGCUCGCUGGGACGGUACUGACGCUGAGACGCGAAAGCGUGGGGAGCAAACAGGG
rnacentral:rRNA from 1 species